rfam:Oryza nivara chromosome 11, whole genome shotgun sequence.
AAAAUGACAAACCCUGGUUUCCAUGUCCAACAUUCGACCGUCCGUCUUAUUUGAAAAAAUUAUAAAAAAAUUAAAAGACAAGUCACGCAUAAAAUAUUAAUCAUGUUUUAUCAUCUAACAACAAUGAAAAUACGAAUUAUAAAAAAAAUUUAUAUAAGACGAACAGUCAAAGUUAGAUACGGAAACCCAGGGUUUGCCUUUUU